UAAGUGCCCAGCAGACGCGGUGAAACUUAAGGGCUAGUCUUAUAGGCAAAAGCGUAAAGGGUGUGAUAGGCCGCCUUAUUUAAGAGAGUAAAUGGAAUUUUUCUGUAAUGGUGGUAUGUGUAAAUAGGAAAAAGAACUUUAGACGUGAAGACUAUUUACUUCUAAGAUUAUAAUGUGUUGGCUAAAACACGAGAGUGUGGGGAGCAAACAGGAUUAGGUACCCUGGUAGUCCAUACUGUAAAUAAUGAAAAAGAUGUGAAGCAAUUCUAAAAGGUAAGAACUUUUCCGCUUGAGUAGUACGAUCGCAAGAUUAAAAUUCAAAAAACUUGGCUGUUCACUGUUUUGAUUAGAGGAGCGUGUCGUUUAAUUCGAUAGUCCGCGAGAGACCUUACCCAAACUUGAAUCCCUCAUUGACAGGUAUUGCAUGGCCGUCGUCAAUUUGUGUAUUAAACAUAAAACAAAUUCAACCCAGUGGUUUGUCUAUUGGAUGAAGUCAGGUCUUAUUGUCCUAAUGUUUGGGGAUUAGAUGCGCUACAUUUUUUUAUACAAUGGGAAACUUUGAAUGUGAAACCCAAAAAUAAGAGUUCGGAAGGUGUCUGGAAUAUAACUACAAACUGGUUUUAAUAGUACUGAAAAGUAGAGCGUACCAUAAAUCC
rnacentral:rRNA from 1 species